CGGGGAUGAGAGGUGGAAGCUCAUGGGAGGAGCAUGUCUCCUCGUCGGGGACGGAGCGGCCGCACACGAGGUCCGGUGCGGCGGGAGGCGGCCGGGACUCGGAGCUGGGCCAGCGUGAUUUUGACACGAUGAUGGUGAUGGCGGAAGUGACCCCAAGGACCAAGCAGAUCCCGGAGACGAGAACAUCAGCCUCGACUGGGGUCUCAGCCCCGGACCAGUGUCCCUCAGGCAAAUGGAUGAACCCUUCAGAACCCCAGCUGUAGAGAAUAAGGAAGUGGGAUCCCCUCCAGCACUAACAACCCAGGAGUGUAAGGUUAGGAGCAUCUUGCUGUUAAUUCAAGGAGGAGGAGGGGAGGGAAUCACUUGUUAACACCGAUUGCAGCCCCUGCACCAGGAUUCCUGCCCCCUGCACAGAGAACUCAGAAGUCCUCAGAGAGAGAGGGUGGUCAGGGCCUCCUUCUGCAGAAGGGAAGCUGGACAAACCUGCCAAGGUUUGAGAAAGCCACUCUUCCAGCUAUGGAGAGAGUGGGCAGAAGUUUCCAGGCUUCAGGACAGACACCAGAAAGGCCGGGGCACCAUCACCUGCAGAGCAGUCAACAGAGGACCACACGUGAGCCAUGUUCUUCCCAUCACAGGAAGCCAGGAGGUAUUUUAAAUAUUUUAGUAAAUUAUUGAUCGCCCGUUUGGAUACUUAAUCAACCGCCAAGCAAGUUGUUAGGGGCCUCCUCUCUCUCCCAUAUUCAUACGUAAUUAAGUAUGAAACAUCUCAGGAACGGACCCUUUUACCAGCGCAUUAGGCUGAAUCAAAGCGGAACAAAACGCAGGUUGUUUGAGCAGCCUCGACCGCAGCCCAUUUGAGGGAAGAAUUGCCUUCCCAUUCUACAACCGUGUCAGGUGGACGGUGCAUUUUAAUCACGGACAGUGGACUGCCAGCACCAGAAGCUGCUAACCCUGGAACCUCACCUAGAACCUGGGAGCAGAGGGCAAACACCAGGCUUUCAGGCUCCCAGGGAAGCCCAAGCAGGUGGUGCAGCGGAAGCAUCUGAGGAUCUGUGUCUCAGGAGCUCUCAUUUAGCAGCCCCCUCCUCCUCCCGACACCCCUGUCCAGCUCCACACCCUCUCCUCCAACUCUUGGUAAGCCUCGGGAAGGACCAAUGAAGGCACACCAGAUUCCUGACGAAGAAAUGAUCUAGUCCUCUUGAUGCUGGGGUUUUUUUUUUUUUUUUAAUGUGUUGCUUUAUUUUUCCUAAUUACAAAUACACACUUAGUUUGAAAUCUUGGAUUCUUUAGGAAAAGUCUACAUGAGAAAACAACCUUAUGCAUAAUUCUACCACUCUACAUUUUGGUUAUUUGCACACACACUUUCUUUUACAAAAUUGGAAUCAUACUACCUGGUGACCUACGUUUUUCAUAGUACAGCCUAAAUACCUUUCCCUGACAUAAAACAGUUUUCUAAAAAAGUCAGUGGCUUUAUGUAAUUUCUGGAAUCAUCAACUGUUGACCAUCUAGGUUUUUCUACUUUAAACAAUCAGCAACAGACAUCCUAACUGCAAAUAUCUGUAUGUAAAGUAAAUGUAGUCCCUGCGAUUGACAUUUGUUCACCAUUUGGCUUCGAAUCACUUUGGUCUGGGGAUAACUCUUGGGAGGCAGUGGCAGGUGGAGGUGGAGAGAGCACAGGCUGUGGAGGACAGACGUGCUCAAGUCCCAGCUGCCCCACAGUCCAGUGAUCCCAUUAGAGAUGUUCGGCUGCAACUAACAAUCACAUAAGAGGCUAAGGGUAGUUUAGAGAGAAGGACUUCUUGGUCUCACACGGUAAGUGGUGUGGAGAUGCAUAAUAAGGGGCUGCAGCAGUAGCUAUCAGGGACCUCACACCCCCUCAUCAGACUGCCCACCACCCUUAGGGAAGCCUCGUUUGAGUCACUUCAUGUUUGCAAGAUGGCUGGGCCCCAACUCUGCGUGUCAGGCAGGAAGAAGGAGGAAGGAGCAAGGUGGCACCUGCGGGCUUCUGCUCACACCUCAUUGGCCAGAACGAUGUCACGUGACUCCUUCUCUCUGCUGCGGAGUCUGAGAAAUUUUUAUCUUUCUUUUCCAUCCUCUCUUAGUACUGCUGUCCAGGGGAAAUAUAAAGUGCCAUA